ACUGCGGACGCACGUCCUCCGUCGUCCCCGACGGAAGGGCGCCGGGCAGCGCCACACGCCUCCCGAGGCAGCUCGUGCCGGCGGCACAACGGCGGAGGCAGAAGUCCUCGGUCCACAGAGCGGCUUCCACACCUGCUCCAGCACAGAGAACAGUCAGCAAUCACCUUGUGCGGUGACACGGCGACUAGACUUUGUGGGCACCAUGUCACAAAGACCCAAGGACUGAGUCACCGUGAUGUGCACCUGACACUACCUGGGUACCCUACAUCCAUCGCACGACCACAGACGCCAUCAUCAGUCUCCCUACAGUGCCCUGGUUUCCGCACCUGCGACAGGCCCGUGACAGCUUUGUCCCGGGCCGGCCCAGGUCCUGGCCGGAGCCAGAAGCUGCCGCUGGAAGCGAUGUGCCGUGCAGGGCAGUGAGGGGCUCAUCACAUCUGGACUGCUGUCGUGGGCCCAAUCGUGUGGAAGUCCUCACCCCAGGGUCUCAGAAAGGAACUGUGUUUGCAGACAGAGCCUUGACAGAGGUGACUUAGGUCAAAGGAGGCUGUGCCCAUGGCCCCAAUCCAACGUCUGUUUUUAUGAGAAAAGGAGGCUGGGCACGCUGAGAGACCAAGGACGCAUGAGGACAAAGAAGAGGCCAAGAGAGGACGCGGGGCAGGAGGGGGUCCCCUGGCCCAGGAGAGAGGCCCCAGGAGGCCAUGCCUGCCCACCCAGGACCCCUGCUUUGGUGCCAUGGGAAUAAAUGUCUAAACCACC